GCAAACUUGGUCAUUUAGAGGAAGUAAAAGUCGUAACAAGGUCUCCGUAGGUGAACCUGCGGAGGGAUCAUUACCGAGCGAGGGCCAUAGGCCCGACCUCCCACCCCAUGUGGUCGCAUCUGACGACUGUGCCUCGGGGGCGACCCGUCGAGAGGCGGGCCCCCCGGCGGACGCACGCACAACGCUGUCGAACCGUCGUCGCGUAAACAAACGAAUAAGCAAAACUUUCAACAAUGGAUCUCUUGGUUCUGGCAUCGAUGAAGAACGCAGC
rnacentral:misc_RNA from 1 species